UACUUGUGGAAUGUAAGGCCUUUGA
rnacentral:piRNA from 1 species